CUGGACUAGGGCAGGUCGGGAGCAGGGUGCGAGCCCGGCAGCGCUCCGGACGCCUGGGUUCCGAGCCUGGCUCGCAGCGCCGAGAGGGGCGAGUCCCAGUGUGCAGGCAGCGGGCCCGGGAAGGGCUCGCCCCGGCUGCCGGGCGGUGAGUGGGGGCGCCGGGGAGAGGCCGAGGCAGGACAUCGCUGCCUGGAGGAAGCAGUCGCAGGGCCGGGGGGUCGGAGCCGAAACGCGGCUGGUACCGGAGAGACCCCCCCCAGCCAGGUCUGGAGCAGCGCGGGGGGGUCUGUGCCGCUGAGCCCAGCAGCCCCCCCCCCCCAGCCGAGCCCGCCCUGGGCAGCAGUCGGAGCGGGGUUUCCAGAUCAGCUGUGCGGGGUUUCCGUCCUGUCCCGGAGGUGUGAACAUAGGAGGGAAUCCGCGUCCGGCCGGGACUUGGAGCCCAGAGCUGCCCAGGCCACUGGCGGGGAGCCUCCAAAGCCCUGAGCAGGGAGAGACACCAGCCUGAGUCCGUACGGGGCUGGUUGGCACCAGAGAGCCACCCCACCCCCUCCUUCCAUCCCAGGGGAGAGACAUGGAAGAAACCCCCCAUAAAUGUUCUGACUGCAGGAAAAGCUUUAAGCAGAGCUCGACCCUAAGGAAGCACCAGCAAACCCACAUGAAGGAGCGACCCUACAAAUGCCUCCAGUGUGGGAAGAGUUUUGUUGACCGCUCCAACCUCCUUCGCCAUCAGAGAAGCCACACCGGGGAACGACCCUAUGGGUGUGAGUGUGGGAAGAGCUUUGCUGAGAGCUCCAAGUUCCUAGAGCACCAGCGAACCCACACGGGGGAGCGACCCUACAAAUGCCUGCAGUGUGGGAAGAGUUUUGCCGACAGCUCCAACCUCCUUCGCCAUCAGAGGAGCCACACGGGGGAACGACCCUACACAUGUGCCCAGUGCGGGAAGAGCUUUGGGCAAAACUCGAGCCUGAUGAAGCACUGCAGGGCCCACACAGGCGAGAAACCCUACAGGUGUGAUGAGUGCGGAAAGAGCUUUGCUCAGACCUCCAACCUCCUAGAGCACCAGAGGAUCCACACAGGCCUGAAACCCUACAGAUGCCCUGUCUGUGGGAAAGUGUUCUGCCACAGCUCCUCGCUGACCAACCAUCAGAGGGUCCACACGGGUGAGAGACCCUAUACAUGUCCCGAGUGUGAAAAGAGCUUCAAACACCGCUCUGUGCUUAUUCAACAUGAGAGGAUCCACACAGGGGAGCGACCCUACAAAUGCCCCCACUGCGGGAAGGCCUUCGCCGAUCGCUCAGUCCUGAUCAAGCAUGAGCGGAUCCACACGCGGGACCAACCCCACAAAUGUGCCCACUGCGGGAAGUGUUUCAGUGAUCCCUCUGUCCUGACCUGGCAUGAGCGCAUCCACACAGGCGAGUGACCCUACAAGUGUGUUCAUUGCAGGAAGGGCUUCAGUCAGAGCUCCACCAUGCCCAGCAUCUGAGAACCCACACUGGGGAGCGGCCCUAUAGAUGUGAUGAUUGUGGAAAGAGCUUCAGUGUCAAGAACCUGCGGCAGCGAAGCAUCCCCAUCUCGGUCACGUUCCAGUUCCCCGUGGAGCUGAGCGGAGUCUGGGUGUGGGACGUCUCUGAGGUCGUCCCCUCCAAGGUACCUGCCUCUCCCUGCCCGUGUGUGUGUGUGUGUGAGAUGGGCCCAGUGACGCCUCUGCCCUACAGCGCCCCCUAGAGCUCCAUUUGCAAUUAGACGUAGGGGGCAGUUAUCUGUGCAAAGGGCAUAUGUAAUCACCCAAUUAACUACUGCACUAACACGCAUAAAGGAACAACAGAAUUGGCAAUUUGCACUUGCAUUUAACACGCCUGUGUCUGUAAUUGUGGUUAAAAACUUGUGCUUGAAUUGUAUGAAAAUCUAGCCCUAGCAGUCUGCCUAAAUGUGGAAUUGAAAAAUAAAUAAAAAGGAAAAGGGUAAGGAGAUGUCUAUGUAGGGACAUAUAUGUAGAUAGAACAGGGUCUGUGGGAAAGCUACAAAAAGGAAAACUCCAGCAUGGGAACAACAUUCAAGCCAAUGGAUUUUUCUCCCUGGGGAAAGGCAGGAAGAGUCUGAGGCUACGUCUACACUACAGAGUUUUGUUGACAGAAGUUAUGCCACUUUAAUUAAACUGCCAUUGCUUGUCCACACAAUGCUGCUUGUGUCGGCAAAGUACAUCCACACUAGAAGCUCUUGCAUUGAUACAGUCGAGGACUGUCAACACCAGCAUCACUUGCCUGGAGAAAAUUGAAGAGUGAUCCUGAGCCACAACAUCUGCUCUGGUUCCGUGUUCCCCCUGCUCGAGCUACAUUGGGACAGUAGAAGUGGAGCCCAUGGAUUGCCUGGUGACUGGUUCCAGUUGUCAUCAGCUGCCGUCCAUCUUCUGCUUGCCUCUGCCAUUGGGACCUGCAAGUAUAAAACCCAUAGUGUCGCCAAGGGUAGUUGGGAGCCAGGCUUCAUGCCUAUAUGGUGAAACCACUGAAGUGUCUGUUAUUUAUCUUUCCCUCUGGGUUUCCCUCCUUCCAUACACUUCCCUCAAUAAAUGGUGGUUUGUUUUGCACCUUAUUAAGUCUUUACUUACCCAAUGCAGUGGGGGAGCGUCUAACGUUCCAGACACAGAUUAGAUACUGGAAACUGGGGCCAAACUGACAAUCUUCUAGGCACCUCUUGCUAUAAUAUUCUCAGUGCAAUAGCCUGAGACUCAGGUGUCUUUCCAUCCUCUGCUGUCCCAGCUGCCCAUCAAUCUAUAGAAAGGAGGUGCCCUAAGCCCCUACAAAUAAAAGUAAGACAAUCAGUUUUCUAAUGUAACCGAUGGCCCUGCCAAGUCUUUCUCACUCAGGUUCAAGUCCUACAAUCGUAUUCAGGCAAAAACCCUAUUGGUUUCCGAGAAGCUUUGCCAUGAUCUUGCUACAGUGGCCUAGCGAAUAAAAGGUCAUUUAAAAAAAAACAAAAAACAACUAAUUGCAACAUGGCUACAGGCAACUGUGAUUGAUUACAGCCAGCUGUUUUUUUUUUUUCCUUGAUGCAGCUCCGCUUGGUGAAAAGUGGAGAUCUAUUCUACGAAUAAAAGAAGAGAAAAAUGAAAGUAAGUGUUAAAUUUCAUUUUACUUGCCAGCUGGGGCAGGGUUUCCAGGAAUUAAGAGCUGUUCAUGAGAACAGUGACACCAUAAACAAACAUGGAUUUUUGGACAUGCUUGUAAGAGAUAGGCCAGAGCCUGGAGUCCCCCUGGAUGUAUUAGACCCAGCCCCAAGGGCAGAGGCCCACAAAUGCAAUUAUCCAGCCCAAGGUUAUGCUUCCUGGGAUGCUCAGGGGGUUUUCUGUGGGCUCUGAGUCAUCAGGGCUAUGCAGGGUUGAUUUUUACAAAGUAACCACACAGAACCCAAACCUUUCCUUCAGAAUGCCCAGGGGCUUGUAUUGAGAUUUAAAAUCCAAAUGUCUCCUAUAGUACACAUACCUCAUGCUUACCUUUCUACCUUUUGAAUACCAAACACCCCUCCACUAAUCCCACCAAAUAAACUGCGUUUCUCUUAGUCAAAAACUAGAUAUUUGCCCAAGUCUGGUUUCCUUGCUGUAAUCAACCACCUCCCAUUUCCCUUUAGCCCUCCUGUAGCCUCUUCACUCCUUCAUAUACUUAUAAGCAGAGUCAGGAUGAGCUCUACCCUGACAUCUGGUGGUGAAUUAUAGUGAGUGUGGAAAAGAACUUAGGGGGCUGAUCUUGUUUGAAUAGGCACACACACUCUGCCUAGCAUGAGUCCAUGG